GCAUUUUAUUCCACACACACGCGAAGCUAUCAUUGCUCCAGUUAAGCUAAUUUCGUUUCCCCGUCUAUAAGUAACAGUGUAACAGCUCCUCUCUGUCGAACUCAAUUCUCAAAUCUCACUCUCCUGUGAUUCCAUGGGGUUUUACCAGGGUUUAAAUUUCAAUUAAACCUUAUUUUCAACAUAGUCCAAAACCAAAACCCUUAAUUACCUCUGUUACCUUUCCAAUUCUAAUUCCCUCUUUAGCUAGGGUUCCAUCGGUGCUCGAUUGCUGCUCACUAUAGCUCCGGAUUUCUGUUUCAAUGCUCUCUAAGCUUCGAUAAUAUGCUUUAUGGUCUUCCGAUGCCUGGGUCCUUUUGCAAACCCUAGAAUGCAAACGCAAUCAAACGAGGUUUAUGCAAUGAAUUGGUGAUUUAUGGGUGUGAGAAUGGUACUUUCGGAUGUCUAAUAUCAGGUGAAGUGAUAUGAGGUGUUGAAUAUGAGCCAUGGAGGUGGGGAGAGUGGAAGAGUGCAUGAAAAAUCAUUGCAUGCAAAGAGAAAAUCUGGUACAAGUGCCGACGAAUUCUCCCGAGCAGUUGCAAAGAUAGCUGUUGCACAAGUAUGCGAGAGUACUGGAUUUCAGAGUUUCCAGCAGUCUGCUCUUGAAGUGUUAUCUGACGUCACUGUCCAGUAUAUACACAAUCUAGGAAAGCUUGCACAAUCCUACGCUAAUUUAGCAUGUAGAACAGGUAGUAACACAUUUGAUAUUAUUCAAGGAUUGGAAGAAUUGGGUUCUCCACAAGGGUUUACUGGCGCUUCUGAUAAUGAUCGUUGUAUUGCUAGUUCAGGUGUGGUUAAGGAACUUGUUCAGUAUGUUACGAUCACAGAGGAAAUCCCAUUUGCCUAUUCUAUUCCUCCUUUCCCAGUUGUUAGAGAAAGGAAGCCAGCUCCAAGUUUUUUGCAAAUUGGUGAGGGGUCUCCUGAGGAGCACAUUCCAGCUUGGCUACCUGCAUUUCCUGAUCCUCAGACUUACCUCCAGUUGUCCACUGGGAACAAAGGGGCUUCUGAUUCUAACACACAAAACAUUGAGUUGGUAAGACCGCUGGCAAGGACAGAUAGGUCUGUAUUGAACUUGCAGCAACAUUUGCCUUGUAAUGGGUCUGGAGGACCUUUUGCUGUUGCUCCUGUUGGAGGUUCUGAGGCAAAACUUGCCAUUGAAGGUAACCCAUUUCUUGCUGCACCUUUACAGUUUGGACAGAAGGAAGUGUCCCACGUUAUUCCUCCAGCUAAGCUCUCAAAUGAAGCUACUGAGAGAAAUCCUAUUGGGCAAAGUCUUCUACAUAACCAUGUGUCAGUGCUGGAUACAUUUGCUCCAUCCAUUGAAGCAAUGAAGAGCAGGUUAUGUGAUUCUGAUGAGGGCCAGAAGAAGGUUCUUUUGAGUCAAAGACCUGCCGUACAAUUUAAGAUUGGGGUUGGAAAGAAGUCCACAGAAUUAAGUUCACACUGUAAGGGUUUUGCCAAGGUUAGCCCAUUGUCUGGAAAGGAUAUUGAGAAGGAUGACAAGAAAAGGAGAGCUGAGAUAAUUCUAAAGCAACCUACAGAGAACCCAGAGGAACUGACACAGUUGUAAAUUAGGUUCCGUUAGAAUCUCUAUACUUGGUUAGGAAACUAGCAGCAGAAGCUGGUUCCGAGUUGUUAAAGUCAGGGCUUGUGGUUGCCAGCAUAUGGCUGUAGAUAAGGGGAACUGUUCCCACUUUAACAAGUUUUGAAGGUCAAAAGGGUAAACUGAGUUAUAUUCCAAUUGGGAAGUCAGUUUCUGAAUUUUUGACGAACUUGUAAAUUAGAAGAGAACCAUGUUGGCUUAUAUUCACUAUUGUGUUAUCAUCUAUGGUCAUCCUCUUUUGGUGUAAUUUUCUCUUCAAUUCAACCAUAAAUAGAAAAAUGUAAAAUUCAUUUCA